rnacentral:rRNA from 1 species
AUUCACGGAGAGUUUGAUCCUGGCUCAGGACGAA